UAUUUCUGCCUGUCACUUAUUAUCUGGUUGAGCUGGUGGCGGGAGUCCCGGCCCAUGUGUGUUACCAGAGGGAUGGUCUAGAGAAUGAAUCCAUCUGUCAGAGGCAUCCAAGAAGAAAGGCCUGGGCCAGGAUCACAUGGAAGACCCUGAAGACAGGAUCGGGUCUUGCCUGCCUGGAUUGAACAGAGACGCAGUGACCAGUCCCAUCUGCUCCCACCCUGCUGCCCUCUGAAUCGAGAGUUUGAGGCCAUGACCAGGGUAACGUUCAGCUGGUAGAGACAACACAACCCUGCUGGCUGUUUAAGCCAUGCUGGAGUGGUGCUCACAGGGUAACAAUUCUGAGUGAUGAACAGAAGCAGCACUUGAGCCAGACUCUGACCAAGAACUGCGGGCAGGCUAGAGCCACACAGAUCCCCGCCUCAGUAGACCGGCUGCAGCAGGAGGCACUCAGGAGCCCCAGAUGGUGAGUGAACGCGGAGCUGGGCAGCACAGAUGCAGGACGCUGCCUCCAUCGCAGAAAGUUCUCCUGGACGCCACUGUUCCAGAUCCUGAUGGUUCAAGUGCUACGGAUGCAAUAGCUCAGCGACUGGCAGCGCAGCACGUACCUGCUGUCGUGGGAGGUGAGAGCCACCAGUGCCCGACAGCGGCUGCAAGGCAGUGGUGGCGCUCUGCAGCCAGCCGGCCCACCCCUCCAACAUCUGCAAGGGGGUGGGAGGCUGCCUCACCAAGCUACCUGCUACUCAUGGGGGCGAUGGGCAUCAGGGUGGCCUGCCUGGAGGUGAGUUGCAGUUGGGAGAUUAGGAGGAAGGUAUGUUGCAGUUGGGAGAUUAGGAGGAAAUACUCACUCGGGAUAUUAAACUAGGCUCUGAACCCGUCUCCAGCGGCAGAUAUCUCCAGUAACUGGGCUGGCAUGUCCGUGCCCUGCGCUGCUCUCUUCUCUCAGCUUCCCUUUGCAACCAAGGCUGAUUCCCACAGUCAGUCUCUCCCCCAGAGAACAUGAAGGAAGAUGCCUGAGGGACAACAUUAACUUGUCAGGAACAGGGGCCUGGGAGGAGUGUGGAUGUGGGCUCAGGUACGGGCAUGCACCUUGAGUGUGUGCAUGUGGGGGUCAGUGUGCAAGCCUGCCGUGGUGUGUGUGGGUCCGUGGGGGUCCCCAUGUUCCCGGGUCUAUGUGGGUGGGGUGGUAUGCACUGUGUGUGUUUAGGGUGCUUGUGCAUGUGUGAGUGUGUACAUAUCUGCAUUCAUUCCUGUGUGUGUCUGCGUCUGUGUCUGUGUGUGUGUGUCUGUGUCUGUGGGUGUGUGUGUGUGUGUGUGUGGGUGUGUGUGUGUGUGUGUACCAUCAGCCCUCCAUAUCCACAGGUUCUGUAUCCUUGGAUUCAACCAACCAUGGAAUAAAAGUACUAACAAAAAGGAUGGUUAUGUCUGCACUGAACAUCCUUGUCAUUACCCCCUAAACAAUACAGCGUGACAACGAUUUACAUAGCAUGUGGAUUGUAUUAGGAAUUACAAGUAAUCUAGAGAUGAUUUAAAGAAUGUGGGAGGAUGUGCAGACGUCACAUGCAAAUACUGCACCAUUUUAUAUCAGGGACUUGAGCAUCAGUGGAUUUUGGAAUCCAGAACAACUGUAUAUAAGUGCGCGUGUGCGUGU
rnacentral:lncRNA from 10 species